GAAAAGCUCCCUGGCGAAAUCCAAGUCGUCCAUUGUGAUCAGUAAAAGGUCCAUUGCGCUUAGCUGAGUACCAGAUGACAUGAUGACAUCGCCAUAGAGCUAAUACUGUUAGAGUUGUAAUGGAUCCUAUACCUUAAAACUGGACAUAAUCAUGGCGUAGGCUACGCACAGCUCGUGACUAAAAGGCCAAGUAAAUUGCCAAGCAGCGACCGUUGACACUGGUGUCCUAAUCAACCCAUUAGAAAAAUCAAGUUAAGAAAGAUGUUUUCUUUUGUUUCGCUAAUUUGUUUACCCAAAACCGGCAAUGGCACCGUCGGAGCACGCCAAAUUGAGAAGCAUCCAAUUCAAGGGCGUCAUUUUCUUAGGGCCCCCAUUAGGUUGUUAGAAAAUUGAGCAGCGCAAUCAACAUGAUAAUUUAGUCCAUUUUGAUACUGUUCUGAUCCUAAUUUACUGUUGCUAUGUCAUUCUUAAAUACGCGACUUUCUAUAGCCACAGACCUCCACUUAAAGAAUCCAUGCAAAUUCAAACAUUCAGACUAUUGUGUGCUGUUGCGGGCACAGUGAACGUGGCUCUACCAGCCGAAUCCCCCUAACAAACGUGGUUUUACCAUCAUCAAAUUAAAGAUACGUAAUUGAUUCUAUCAAUUAUUCCCUACCAAUCCAAUAUACAUAUAAUGGGAUUCCCUAGGAUGCCAUUGUUAAUUACCUGCGGGUCAUUCAAGAUGAUGAUGAUGACUACAAUGUUCAUAAUCAAACCGAUGGCACUAAUGAAUAACAAAUAGGCGCCUGCUGACAAGUAAACCCAUUCGGGCAUGAGUAGACCUGUACUGCUAGCAGAGAUAUUUCCAGUUAUGACAGACCAUCCGCUACCGUUAAGUGCAAAACCACCGGCAUGCCCUUGCGUUCCAUUAUCCACUUCACCAAGAUACAAAGUCUCCGAAAUAUUUGGGGCCGAUCCAACACAUCCACAAAGAAAUAGGAAACAGAAACAUAAAAAUGCAGUAUCAUGUGUACUGAAAUUAGUCCUGAGAGUAUGAGCGUCUUUUAUACUUUGCGACGAGGGAUCUUCAGCGCAGAUGCGCAAGAUGUUCCUACCCCGUCAGUAGUGCGUUAUGUUUUUCUCAUUGGAAAUAUCUGUCGUUCGCAACUCCCAGAAAUUUUAGGAGGGACGGCUAAGCUGAAAUGAAAAAGACUUGAUUUAGGAACCAAUUUGAAAAGCGAACACGGGUAUCGAUCUCACAGGAAUGAAAAGAGGAUUAUAAAUUUUUGUAUGACCUAAGUUCAGAUUCAUUUGCCAUAUCUUAUGUUCUUAAUGCAAAUUUGUGAAAAAAUUAGGAAUAUUAGAAAGUUUAAACGCCGCUGAUGACGCAAGUUACCAGGCUAGACAAGUUUCAGGAACUUAUUCAGGAAACUAUAAGAAACGUAAACUUUCGGAUAACAUUAUUAUACGUACGUCCCAAUGUGUACUCUUAUCAUUAGCUAAUUUUUUCCCUCCUGUGCCAGUUGAAUUUAAUUUUCACGUAAAGUCUUUAAAUGAAGAAAAAUAGCCAGACAUGAUACUCGUAAUUACUCGUUCUUGAUACUAUGAAAACAAAAGUGACUGCCAACAAGUUCAUUCUGUUCCACGCAGUUAACUAGUCCUGGGUUAUUCGCCAUGUAGGAUCUGUCAAAAACAUCACUUGUCAAGUUUAAAUAACAAUAACAAGCAUAAAAAAAAUGUCAGCGAAG